CCUACGGGGGGCAGCAGUGAGGAAUAUUGGUCAAUGGGCGCGAGCCUGAACCAGCCACGUAGCGUGAAUGAUGACUGCCCUACGGUUGUUAAACUUCUUUUAUAAAGGAGUAAAGUGAGGCACUUGUGCCUUUAUGUAUGUACUUUAUGAAUAAGGAUCGGCUAACUCCGUGCCAGCAGCCGCGGUAAUACGGAGGAUCCGAGCGUUAUCCGGAUUUAUUGGGGUUAAAGGGAGCGUAGAUGGGUUGUUAAGUCAGUUGUGAAAGUCUGCGGCUCAACCGGAAAAUUGCAAUUGAUACGGGCAGACUUGAGUACAGUUGAGGUAGGCGGAAUUCGUGGUGUAGCGGUGAAAUGCGUAGAUAUCACGAAGAAAUACGAUUGCGAAGGCAGCUUACUAGACUGCAACUGACAUUGAUGCUCGAAAGUGUGGGUAUCAAACAGGAUUAGAUACCCUAGUAGUC
rnacentral:rRNA from 1 species